CGGGCUCUGCACUGACAGCAGACGGCCCCACGUGGGGCUUGAACUCACGCACUGUGAAAUCAUGACCUGGAGCCGAAGUUUGACAGAGACUGAGCCAACCUGGCACCCCUGGGGUUCUAUCUUAAAUUGUAAAUAGCCCUGGGAAGGUGGAGUUGCUCUGGACUUUUCAUGGCUUUGAGCGAACUGCUUUGAAUAGGCUGCCUUUCCAGACAUGCAGUACGAUUGGUGUGCCUUUAUGGUGUGGGGUGUGGGAGUUCAGGGGAAGGCUCUGAACGAAUGUUCUAGAAGGGGGUUGGAGCAUGGCCUCAUUGGAUGCCUUGAGGCAAUUAAGAAGGGUACAAGGUAGAGAAGACCUAGGUGUUAAGAGAGGCUUCCAGGAGAGAGAAGAGAAGGCACGAACGCCUCCAGCUUCUGCGGCUUUGCUGUGCAGGACCACGCCCUGGCGUGGAGCUCGCUUAUCUCCAGCCUCUCCCCUUCCCUGUGGUGGGUGGGGCAGACCAGCCUGCUGAGGAAAUACCUAGAAAUGACCUAUGGGGCAACUGUUAAGACUGGUACUUUUCCACUCCAUGUGUUGAUGUGUGCUUCUAAGAUCCCCAAUAUGGACUCCUGCAUAGUCUUGAGGAGUGCUGGGGCUCCCCAGAGGGACGUUCAAGCUCGGGCCGCAUCCCAUAAUGGUGGUUCUUUGACUCUGUAGAGGUCACCACAGAAGGGUUUCUUUGUCAUUUGCCAUCGCCAUUUCUCCUCAGUCUAGUGUCUGCCCCUCUUGGGCGAUUUCUGAUGGUGGGAUAUGUUUUCCACUGGGGCCUACGCUUACCACCUGCCUCCCAGUUUUCCCGUCGCCUUCAGAAGCUAGUUAUUUUUACAAAGGAGCACUCCUCCCUCCAACCCAAUCUUAAAUACAGUUUUGGAACAAGGAGCCUGCCUCCUCUAAGGUAACGGCCGCUCUCCUGUACCAGCUGCUGUCACUUCCUUCACAUGAGUGGACACGUGUUUCCUCUCCUGGUUCCUCUUUAUUUCUCUGCCCUUCCCCCUCUGGGGGGAUGAGGGCAGGCAGGGCUCCUCACACCAGGUGCUGCGUAUCUGAUCAGUGCCCUAGAACCGACUGGCAGAAGAUUCUGACCGGGUCUUCCUACAAAGUCUCCACCAGCAUCUGGAGGUUUGGGCUGCAAGACAAAGGCUGGUUCCCCAUCCAUCAGCUUUCUCGAUGUCUUCUCUUCCUGGGGUCAGACUGCCUCCUAAUACCCAUGAGGAGAUAGCAGCUCUCAGCACCUGGCCCAGGCUCUCCAUGAAAUCCUGGCAUGGCAACCAGAUGUGGGAUGCCAGGCCGCCACACAGGGAGGCGAGAGAGCUUCAGUGAAGGAGACCGGUGCUGACAGAGGGGAAUAGAAGCACGCCAGGGAACAGCUGGAGCGCGGGACGGAGGCAGCGGGGAACAGACCUGCGUCUCCAUCAAGGUUUCAAGCCAUCCUCUGACAUCGCUCGUCAGGGAUUUUACCGCGCUCCCAGGACGUGCAGCUAUCGAGGCUCUCUUUGGAAACUUUGUUCUGCCCACAAGUACUCAUGGACAUUCACAUGCUUUCAGAGGUCGUGUAGACGCCCUUAGAGUCCCAUUUGUGACUAUUUUAAAGGUCGCUUUUUAUUUACACCGAAAAUACGUAUAAGAACUGUUUCUGUGAAAUUAGGUCACAGUCAGCGAGAACCAAGAGACUUACAUUCCUCUGUGCAGGAAACAGUUUCAUCAUCACUGCCAUCAAAGACGCUGCAUGGAAGGUCAGCUCUGGACUGUGUGUAGAGCGCUCCGAUCGAGAUCGUUAGAUCUCUGCAGAUAGGCGGCUAACGCGUCACUACAAAUGUGGGUAGAAGGAGGACACCCUAAAGUUUCAUGAAUGAAGAGAUUUUCCGAGGAUCAAGCCAACGGCCACGCUUCCCUCCCAUCCCCGGAUCUGUCCCCGCCCACCGCAAAAAGGCCAAAAGAAAAGGAAGAGCCAUCCUUUUGCUGUGCCUCUCUCGCUGAGUUCCCCUUCACAUUCUCUGAGGAAUUAUCUAUGCCUAUUUUAUCAGUGGAGAAAAGGAGGCUCAGAACGGCCCAGAAACUUGCCAGCCGUCACGUGGGUAGAAGCAAACUGAGAAGCAAAUGCUUUCCAGAGUUGGGCCGCGUCUGGGAGGUUCUACCUUGAAGCAUGGAGUCGACUGCGACCUAACGAGACCCAAGGAGUCUGCUGGCUGGCCUGGUCCCCAAGCAGAAGCAGAGCACUGCCCAACUUCUACGUGUGGGACGACCCGUGGCAACAUAAAGGGCAAACACACAAGGACGUCUUUCUUUCUGAGAAUGUUUCCACUGCAGUUAGGUUAGAAAAUGAUCCGGGGAAGAUAUAAACUAGCUCUUUCAUUUUCCAAAAUAAAAUGCCUCUCCACUUGGUAAUCUGGGUGGUGGAAGUCCCAGCCAGAGUCUUGGUUUUUAAAGGUUUUGUUUAAUUUGCCACCCCCACACCUCUCCUCCCACCGCCUCGCAUCAAGCUGGACAAGAAGAAAGGGGACAGUGGCCUGGCAGAUGCCUCCAUGUGGUAUGUCCUUGCAAAAUAGCUUCGGCAGCACUUUAUAUCAAAUAACCAGGGGAAAAAAGGGAAGUGGAGGUGAUGGGAGGUGUCUGCAUUUCCGGGGGUUUUGUUCCAGUUUUAAUAAAUAAGGAUAAUGCAUAGAGUGUCUCCAUUUCCAGAGCUGUGUUUUUUCCUUAAACACUGCCGCUCUUCAUGGGGAAGGAAUGAGACAUUCCUGACACAUGAUUUGGCAGGUCUCAAUCAUAAAAGAUCCAAUAUUGGCUUUCAGAAUCCCGUUCCAGAUUUGACCCAGACUCCAAACCCUGUCCAGGCACCAGCUAGAUGAGUACCUCUGGGCCUGGGCGGGGUGCCAGCCACACUUUGAAUAACAUUUGUGGGAUCUCCCCAGGGGUUCUGGUGAGGAAGGCAAUGAUUUGUUGUCCGGAUAGCUUUUCCCUCCUUGGAAAAGAGCACACGGAAUGAAAGCGCAUGAAGGACAUCAGGUGUCCCCACAAGAGUUUCAUAAUAGCAAAGACACGGAGGAGCCACCAUGCAGGGACCAAGUGAGGAACGUUUUGUCCCUGCCCUAAGGUACUUGCCCUCAAUCAGCUAAUCCCACUAUGGUACGGCUGGUGGCACCUGUCAAGUUAAAAAGUGAAAUCUACCAAACUUAUUUGUUUUUGGGGGUGGGGCUGUGUCUUUUCCUGAGUGGUGCCCCGUCUGGCAUUUCUCAAAACAUGAUCUAGAGACUCUUCUGCAUUAGAAUCGAGGGGAUCUAGUUCAAUGGCGGAUUUUUGGUCUCCUAAUCACCUACCAAGUAUGUGCGAACUAGAGCCAAGAAUUUGCUUCACAGCAACCUGCCAGGCAAUCCUGAUACACCCCAAAGUUGUGAGCCAUUGGCUGUAAAAAAUCCUUCACAUAUUUUUAAUCCAUCGCAGCACCUCGUGGCGGUGGAGAGUAAGACUGGCUUCGUUUUGCUGAUGGCCAUGUGAAUUUGUUUCACUGCGUGUCUAUUUACUGUAGGGAAAGUUUGAACUGCUAAAGACAGGGGCUACUUUAAGCCUUCGCUCUUGCCGAUUGAUACAUGUGCCUUGUCCUUUUGCAGUUAUGGUUAUCAUCUGCCCACCAACAGUAUUUCUAAGAAGCUGCUUCUCCGUGUCUUCUGGGAAGACUGUAUCCUUCAAUAUAUGUGAUUGCAGCCUGUUGAUAAAAGCAAAAGAAAAAUAAUAAAACCCACUUUGUUGAACUUCUCA